rnacentral:lncRNA from 1 species
AAGUUUGUCCGGUGCUAGGGCUGCAAAGCACCGGCACCAUAUCUAACUUAAUCUUAGAGAGACAAGGCCAUGGACUAGACGACUGAUUUUAAAGGAAUUAUCCAAGUCGAAAUCACUGAAAUGCAUGAGAGGAUUGGCGGAUACUGACGAGUAGAGGAUUGUGAAGAGAAGAAGAACAAGCUGCCGUCUUUUUGCCUAGCGUAUAAGAUCUUCGGGCGAGUAGAGGAUUUUCUUAAGUAAAAGUCGGUGAUUCACCUGGAAGUCACUUUAAAAGCAAUGACAUAUAUUUCUUGACCAAAAAUUGGCAUAUAACUCAACUGAUCUUCAAAAAGAAUCAUACAUAUUCGUGCUACAAAAAUAAAGGUAAAAUGCAUCAUCAUCUAUACAAAAUUUAUAGCGAGCAUUGUUCGUUAUAAACAUUGUAACUGUUACAGCUUCACAUAGUUAAUUUGCGAUGUGUAAGCAGCCAUGAUUACAAAAUAGCCUCACUCGUUUUACUCUAAUUUGCUUCACUAACCGAUCCAAAGAAACAAAUAAUCUUUUUUUGCAGACUGAUUUAGCAGUUCCUCGAGGCAAAUAGAUUGAUCUCUCCUAUCCCCUUGUCAAGCAAAAACCUGAGGAGUUCUGAGAAUACAUUUCCACUGGAGGUAGAGCUAAAAACAAGUGAUUUUUUGUGCCACAAGAUCUUCUUACCGGAACCGUAGUAUUCAAAGUUUGUUAUGUAUUUUGAAGCAUUAGCUAAAAGUAAAGAACAAUAUAAUUUCAUUUAUUUAUCAUUUCGUUGAGGCAUGACAUGCUUUCUGAAGAAAAC